rnacentral:rRNA from 1 species
UGGGGAAUAUUGGACAAUGGGCGAAAGCCUGAUCCAGCCAUGCCGCGUGUGUGAAGAAGGUCUUCGGAUUGUAAAGCACUUUAAGUUGGGAGGAAGGGCAGUAAGUUAAUACCUUGCUGUUUUGACGUUACCGACAGAAUACGCACCGGCUAACUCUGUGCUAG